GCAGACCCCUCGUGUGGCGUCAUCUUACGAACCUCCCCAGGGCCGGAAGGCAGCAAGGAUAAGUAAGCUCUGGCGGGUGCGCGAGGGGUCCCUUGU
rnacentral:SRP_RNA from 1 species